AUUGAACGCUGGCGGCAGGCCUAACACAUGCAAGUCGAGCGAGAGGCGGACGGGUGAGUAAUGUAUGGGGACUGCCCGAUAGAGGGGGAUAACUACUGGAAACGGUAGCUAAUACCGCAUACUAUCCGAUAACCCAUAUGGGAUUAGCUCGUAGGUGGGGUAAUGGCUCACCUAGGCGACGAUCCCUAGCUGGUCUGAGAGGAUGAUCAGCCACACUUGGACUGAGACACGGCCCAGACUCCUACGGAGGCAGCAGUGGGGAAUAUUGCACAAUGGGCGCAAGCCUGAUGCAGCCAUGCCGCGUGUGUGAAGAAGGCCUUAGGGUUGUAAAGUACUUUCAGUCGGGAGGCGUUACCGACAGAAGAAGCACCGGCUAACUCCGUGCCAGCAGCCGCGGUAAUAC
rnacentral:rRNA from 1 species